UAAUACGUAGGCAGCAAGCGUUGUUCGGAGUUACUGGGCGUAAAGGGUGUGUAGGCGGCCUACUAAGUUCGGUGUGAAAUCUCCCGGCUCAACCGGGAGGGUGCGCCGGAAACUGGCAGGCUAGAGUGUGGGAGGGGAAAGUGGAAUUCCUGGUGUAGCGGUGAAAUGCGUAGAUAUCAGGAGGAACACCGGUGGUGUAGACGGCUUUCUGGACCAUAACUGACGCUGAGACACGAAAGCGUGGGUAGCAAACAGGAUUAGAUACCCUGGUAGUCCACGCCCUAAACGAUGCACAUUUGGUGUGGGUCAUUCAGUUGAUCUGUGCCGGAGCUAACGCGUUAAAUGUGCCGCCUGGGGAGUACAGUCGCAAGGCUG
rnacentral:rRNA from 1 species